GUGAGCGAAGCAUAGGAAAACUCAUGAAAGAAAACAUUUUGCCCUUGCCACGUCAGCAGUUCUAUGCACAUUAGCUCACUCAAUCCUCAUGGUAACUGUAUGAGGGUUUCACUCUGUCACCCAGGCUAGAGUGCAGCAAUGUGAUCAGAGCUCACCAUAACCUCGAAUUCCUGGGCUCAAGCGAUCCUUCCACCUCAGCCUCCCAAAGUGCUGGGAGUAUAGGUGUGACCCGCCCCACCUGAUGGAGAAGCUCAUCUUAAUUGAUGCUCAGCACAGAGGAAGCCAGCAAAAAAAGGAAUGUGGAGGGAAUGAACAGAAGGAACUAACACCAGAUGCAGUUUGUGUGUGCGGGGUGGGGUCUCAGAAAUUUAUUUUUAAAAACUCACAGAUAUGUUCAACAAAACCAGUGACUAGAUUUAAAAGAAAGCAUCUCUGGUCCCUCCAAUUCUGACCCUGCUGCACCAUUGUUUUCAUGCACUGCACUCCCUUCUGCUAUGGAGGAACAGAAAAUUUAUGAAUCCAGUUUUCUUAAUUUGUGUUGCCUCAAACAUAGUCUUUAAGACAAGAAUAUAAGUGCAAGCAGUUGACUUGGGAAGAGACUCCAGGAAACACAAGGGAGGAAGUGAGACAGGAAAAGGAAAAAUGCUAAUAAAUUCUGUGCAAUGAACUGAUUAUGCUUUAGGCAACUGCUGCUCAGUCCCACUUGGAUCCUCCUAGAGGCCAUGUGGACAUGUCCCAGAGUCAUCACUGGGGACAGGGAGCUGCCAUUUACCCAUUGAUUCCCAUCCACCAGUAGUUGAAGUUUGCUCUGUAAGGAUUAACACCCUCAUACCUAGUUUUCAUAGUUCUGGAGAAAAUCCUCACUCAUAGAAGAAGAGAGAUUCAGGCUCUUGAUGUAGGAUGCUAUCCGCCUACCGGCAACUGAAGUAGCUACAGGAAAACUCAGACUGAAGAAAUAUGGGUUGGAGUCUGCUACUCCACACUGGGAACUUGAGAUGUAUGACUCUUUAGGCAUAGCUACGCUCUAAUGCAAAGGGUGAUUUUUAAUGCAAAGCCAUGAAUAACUGAUUUCAAAUCCAAAACUAUGUAUUAAUA